GUAGGGAAUAUUGGGCAAUGGAUGCAAGUCUGACCCAGCCAUCCCGCGUGCCGGAAGAAGGCCCUCAGGGUUGUAAACGGCUUUUGACGGUGAAGAAUCGACAGGAUGCGUCCUGUUUUGACGGUAGCCGUUGAAUAAGCACCGGCUAACUCCGUGCCAGCAGCCGCGGUAAUACGGAGGGUGCGAGCGUUGUCCGGAUUUAUUGGGUUUAAAGGGUGCGUAGGCUGGAAGGUCAGUCAGCGCUGAAAAGCUGUCGCUUAACGAUAGUCUUGCCGCAGAUACUUCCUUUCUUGGAUGAGGAGGAGGCCACUGGAACGGAUGGUGUAGCGGUGAAAUGCAUAGAUAUCAUCCAGAACACCGAUUGCGAAGGCAGGUGGCUGUACCUUAAUCGACGCUGAUGCACGAAAGCAUGGGGAGCAAACAGGAUUAGAAACCCGUGUAGUCC
rnacentral:rRNA from 1 species